GGCGCUGUGGCUUAGUUGGUCAAAGUACCUGUCUAGUAAACAUGAGAUCCUGGGUUCAAAUCCAAGCAUUGCAUUUCA